rnacentral:rRNA from 1 species
GUAAGGAAUAUUGGACAAUGGACGCAAGUCUGAUCCAGCCAUGCCGCGUGAAGGAUUAAGGUCCUCUGGAUUGUAAACUUCUUUUAUAAGGGACGAAAAAAGGCUUUUCUAAGUCGUCUGACGGUACCUUAUGAAUAAGCACCGGCUAACUCCGUGCCAGCAGCCGCGGUAAUACGGAGGGUGCAAGCGUUAUCCGGAUUCACUGGGUUUAACGGGUGCGUAGGCGGGCAGGUAAGUCAUUGGUGAAAUCCUAGAGCUGAACGCUAGAACUGCCAUUGAUACUAUCUGUCUUGAAUAUUGUGGAGGUAAGCGGAAUAUGUCAUGUAGCGGUGAAAUGCGUAGAUAUGACAUAGAACACCUAUUGCGAAGGCAGCUUACUACGCAUAUAUUGACGCUGAGGCACGAAAGCGUGGGGAUCAAACAGGAUUAGAUACCCUUGUAGUC